CAUAUCAAUAAGCGGAGGAAAAGAAACCAACAGGGAUUCCCCUAGUAACGGCGAGUGAAGCGGGAACAGCUCAAAUUUGAAAUCUGGCCUUCGGGUCCGAGUUGUAAUUUGCAGAGGAUGCUUUUGGUGCGGUGCCUUCCGAGUUCCCUGGAACGGGACGCCUUAGAGGGUGAGAGCCCCGUACGGUUGGCCACCAAGCCUUUGUAAAGCUCCUUCGACGAGUCGAGUAGUUUGGGAAUGCUGCUCAAAAUGGGAGGUAUAUUUCUUCUAAAGCUAAAUACUGGCCAGAGACCGAUAGCGCACAAGUAGAGUGAUCGAAAGAUGAAAAGCACUUUGAAAAGAGGGUUAAAUAGCACGUGAAAUUGUUGAAAGGGAAGGGUUUAUGACCAGACCUUUUCUAGGGGGAUCAUCCGGUGUUCUCACCGGUGCACUUCCCCUAGUUGAGGCCAGCAUCGGUUUCUGUAGGGGGAUAAAAGCUUCGGGAAUGUGGCUCCUUCGGGAGUGUUAUAGCCCGUUGCAUAAUACCCUUACGGGGACCGAGGUCCGCGCUUCGGCUAGGAUGCUGGCGUAAUGGUUAUUAACCACCCGUCUUGAAACACGGACCAAGGAGUCGAACAUUUGUGCGAGUGUUUGGGUGUUAAACCCUCACGCGUAAUGAAAGUGAACGGAGGUGAGAGCCCUUCGGGGUGCAUCAUCGACCGAUCCUGAUGUCUUCGGAUGGAUUUGAGUAAGAGCAUAACUGUUCGGACCCGAAAGAUGGUGAACUAUGCGUGGAUAGGGUGAAGCCAGAGGAAACUCUGGUGGAGGCUCGCAGCGGUUCUGACGUGCAAAUCGAUCGUCAAAUCUGCGCAUGGGGCGAAAGACUAAUCG
rnacentral:rRNA from 1 species